AUUGAACGCUGGCGGCAGGCCUAACACAUGCAAGUCGAGCGGAUGAAGGGAGCUUGCUCCUGGAUUCAGCGGCGGACGGGUGAGUGAUGCCUAGGAAUCUGCCUGGUAGUGGGGGAUAACGUCCGGAAACGGGCGCUAAUACCGCAUACGACCUGAGGGAGAAAGUGGGGGAUCUUCGGACCUCACGCUAUCAGAUGAGCCUAGGUCGGAUUAGCUAGUUGGUGGGGUAAAGGCCUACCAAGGCGACGAUCCGUAACUGGUCUGAGAGGAUGAUCAGUCACACGGGAACUGAGACACGGUCCAGACUCCUACGGGAGGCAGCAGUGGGGAAUAUUGGACGAUGGGCGAAAGCCUGAUCCAGCCAUGCCGCGUGUGUGAAGAAGGUCUUCGGAUUGUAAAGCACUUUAAGUUGGGAGGAAGGGCAGUAAGUUAAUACCUUGCUGUUUUGACGUUACCAACAGAAUAAGCACCGGCUAACUUCGUG
rnacentral:rRNA from 1 species